rnacentral:tRNA from 1 species
GGGGUUGUAGCUCAGGGAUAGAGUACUCACCUAGCAUGUGUGGGGUACUGGGUUCGAUUCUCAGCACCACA